CCGGGUUGGACAUGGCCGAAGUAGAAGGCGGAAACGCCGACGACCCGUUGAGGCGGGAGCGGUCACAGAUGCUGCAUGGCUGUCGUCAGCUCGUGCCGUGAGGUGUUGGGUUAAGUCCCGCAACGAGCGCAACCCUCGUCGCUAGUUGCUUAUCUAGCGAGACUGCCGGGAUCAACUCGGAGGAAGGUGGGGAUGACGUCAAGUCAGCACGGCUCUUACGUCCGGGGCUACACACACGCUACAAUGGGCGGUACAACGGGGAGCGAAAGGGCGACCUGGAGCGAAUCCCAGCAAAGCCGUCCUCAGUAAGGAUCGGAGGCUGCAACUCGCCUCCGUGAAUGCGGAGUUGCUAGUAACCGCAGGUCAGCACACUGCGGUGAAUACGUUCCCGGGCCUUGUACACACCGCCCGUCACGUCAUGAAAGUGGGAGACGCCUGAAGCCGGUGGCCCAACCUACGGGAGGGAGCCGUCGAGGGCGGGGCCCGCGAUUGGGACG
rnacentral:rRNA from 1 species